AGUCCUAGGAGACACAAGAAAGAGCAGCCACACUAAGGACUCCCGCCCAAGGCCGCCCGUGUCCCAUCCAGGCCUGCCUCCGACACAGGCUCCCCUCUCAGGGACCUUCAACCACAGCAGGUCCCCGGGGCUGAGUCAGCAAGUUGAGAGCAGAGGUGCGAGGAAGAAGGUACCCCAGUUUUCUGGGAUCACCCACAGCAGGAUUACCGCACAGGACACGAGAGGGAUGGCGAAACCCUGGUCCUGAGUUCUGUCUACUCGAGAACCGUCAAGCCACUGUCAAGCCAGCCCAAUCUCUGAAGCACCCACUCCAAACUGAGAAGUCUGCGAUGCCGACCGCCGGGAAAAUUACAGCGUCGCUGCUGCGAGCUCAGUGUCGGGGUGUAGCUUACGUACCACAGAAACGAACUCCUUCACGCACACAGUUGGACAAAUGCGUCCAUCUAACUCCGCACCCACACCACAGUCCUGCUGGAGGACAUUCCAGCAUGCUCGUUUCCAUGGGCCCCGCCCCGACGCCUGGCCACAGGCAGCCUCUGAACUGAUUUCCAUCACCAAGGAUUGCCGUCGAAAGCUUUUCCGUAAAUGGAGCCAUCCCGUGUGUACCCUUUCCUGUCUGGCCUGUUUCACUCAGCGUUCACGUUUCUGGGAUUCCUCCACGCUGCUGUGAGCCUCUGCGGUCCCAUCCUGUUUCCGGCGGAGUCCCUGUCGAUUACGUGGCUCUAACACGGUACAAAUACCCACUCACGUGACUGGUGGGCAGGUGGUUUCCAGUCCAGGGCUAUUACACAUAAAGCCCCUCUGAGCACCGGAGUGCGGCCGUGGUGUGGAGACAGGCUUCACUUCUUCUGGAGCAAUACCAAAGGAGGAGGUUCCCGGGCUGUCCGCUCCGUGUACCGUCAAACCGCUUUCCAGGCCGGUUAGACCUCCCACCUUCCCCCUCGGCAGUGUAUGCAGGUGCAGCUGCCCCGUGUGCUUGCGAACAUUUGGUACUGUCGGCGUCUGAAGUUUCAGCCAUCAUCGGGUGUGCAGCGGAUCUCGCUCGGGAUUUAACUUGCAUUUCGUGUAUGACUAAUUACAUUAAGCAGACGGACAUUUACUGGCCAUUUAUCUUCCGUGACGUGUCCGAAUCUCUCACUGGUUUAUAAGUAGCUCUUUUGGUUUCUCGCCAAGUCGCGAGUUCUUUAUAUAUUCUUAAAUACAAGUCCUUCUCAGACAGAGAGCAGCAACAUUUCCUCCAAGUCUGUGCUUGCCUUUUUAUUUUCUUAAUUUUCUCUUUGUCAUUCAAAGAGCAAAAGUUUUUCGUUUUGAUUAGGCCCAACUUAUCGUAUCUUUUUUCUUUUAUGGUCAGUGCUUCACGUAACCCAAGAAAUCCCUGCCGUGGUCACAAAGCUUUUCUCCUUUGUUUUCCAGAUGCUUUUACACCUAGGUCUGUCACCUGUUUCAAGUUAAGCUGUGUGUAGGGCAGGAGAUCAAGGUUCAUUCUUUUUCCCAUAUAGCUAUUUAGUUGUACCCGCAAAGGUUUUCAAAAUCUAAUCCCUUCCCCAAAGAAUUACUGUGGCCCUUCUGUUGAUUAUCAGUUGACUGUACGUGUGAGUGUGUUUCUGGGCACCUGGCUCCGCUCUAUUUGACGGAUGUCUAUCUUUACACCAAUAUCACACUGUCUCAAUCCAUCUUGAAAUCAGGCAGAAUCAGUCUUCCAACUCUGUUGGUUUUAGUUUCACAUAUAUUUUAUAACUUAAUCAGUUUCUGCCAAAAAGCCUGUGGAGAUUCUGACUGGGAUCGCCGAGACUCUGGAAAUCAGUGUGGGGAGAACAGACUCUUAAUACGCAAUCUUCUGAAGCUGCACAUGUGGUCUUGCUGUCCAUUUAUUUCGGUGUUUUUAGCCACGUUUUACAGCUUUCAGUGUGAAGAUCACGUACAUAUUUAAAAAAUCUCAUCCCUAAGUAUUUCGUGUUCUUCCACCACUGCAGACACGAUGAAAUUUCACUUGGAAGAGUUUCUACUGUAGAACUCAGCUGGCCUCUGUGCACUGCCCUUGCAUCCUGACACCCCCGUAAACUCACUCCCCAGCUUCAACAGCCUUUCCGUGGAUUCUUUCAUGUUUUCUCAUGCACUUGGAUCAUGUCACCUACAAUACAAAGGCAGUUUUUCUUCUUCCUUUCCUCUCUUUUCCUGGCCCUACCAUGCUGGCUAGGUGCCCCGGUGCUAGGAGCCCGCCUCGCUCUCUGUCUGGGGCUCCGCCGGGUGGGAGCGCUCAGCUUUCACCAGUAAUUGUGACGCCAGCUACAGGUUUUCAUAGGUGCCCUGAGCUUGGUUGAGGAAGGAGAAGAUUCCUACUUUGCCGAGGCUUUUGUUUUUGUUUUAAAUCACAAUGGGGACUGGAUUUUGUCAAAUGCUUUUCUGGCAUUCACUAAGAAGAUAAUAUGGUUUUCCUCCCUCAUUCUGUUGAUAUGCUGAAUUACACUAACUGGUUUUUAAAAUGUUAAAAUUAACCUUGCGUUCCAGAGAUAAAUGCCACUUGAUCAUAUUAUCUUCUUGUAGAUGUCCGAUUUAAUUUCUGCUACUAUUUUGAUAAUGUUUUUUCUGUCCUGUUCACAAAAAGCACUGAUCUGAAGUUUUCUUGAAACGUCUUUGUCUCCUUUCGGCAUCAGGGCAAUGCUUCAUCAGAUGAGCUGAGAAAUGUCCCCUCCUCCCUUUAUUCUCUAAAACUUUGUGCAGAACUGGUAUUACUUCUUCCUGAAAUGUUUGAUGAUAUUCACCAGGACCCGCAGUUUACUCUACAGGGAGGUUUUCUGAGUGUGAAUUCGAUUUAUUCAAUAACUAUAUGACCAUUCGUUACGUUAGUUUUGUUAUUUGUAUCUUUCAAGAAAUGUGCACAUUUCAUGCAUGCUGUCAAAUCUGUUGGCGUAAAAUUUCAUAAUAUUCUCUAACCCUUUCAACAUACACAGGAUCCAGAGUGAUGUCUUCUUGUACCAACACGGGUUAUGUGUGUCAUCUCUUUCCUUCUUGCUCAGUAUGGCCAAAAGUUUGUAAGUUGUAUUGAGCUCAUCAAAGAAGCAACUUCUGGUUUCAUCCAUUUUCUAUUUCAAGGAUUUCUGCUCUUAGUUUAUUUAGUUCUUUUUUUUUUUUUUAGCAGGCUCCGUGCCCAACAUGGGACUUGAACUCAUGACCCUGAGAUCAAGAAUUGCGUGUUUUAUCUAGUUCUAUUGACUUUGGCUUAGCACCUGUGAGUUACCCAACCUUCCACCUGGAUGCAGAAAUCACCCUAAUGCAGGACUGGAAGGAUAAAACAAACUCAUCAUUCCCUCUACCUUCCUAAAGCAAGGCGCUCACUACAGACUUUGUGCGCCCCCUGCCCUGGGACACACCACCAACACUCAUUAUGGGGCAGCGGAGGGCUGGACUCACGGUUAAAACUUUCUAUGUCCUAAGGCUGGAAGAAAAUGGCAGCCUGGCUUGUUGAACUUUCCUGCAACAAACAGGACGGCUCAUUCACUCAGUACCAGCCGCCUACGUGAAGUGGGGCGCUGCAGGAAUGGAGAAUGGAGCCACGACAGCAGAAGGAAACGCUUCGGGAGUUCCUUCACCCGAGGUCCCUGGUGUCAGAAGGGACUAAGGUCAAGGGCUGGAGCGCUGGGGUCUGAGUUCUACAUCCCCCAUCAGAGCCACAGGCCAUACAGCACCUCUCUGAAGCAGGAAGGCGGGCCUGCUGCCUGCAAGUGAGGCCGCCUCCAAAGGCAGGUGCAGAGCCAAAGUGGGCUCACUGUGCAGCGACACAAGGAGCCCUCUGUGAGGAACGCACACUCCCACCAAGCACUCACAAACACGGUGAACAACCUUAUCUCGGGACAGAAGAGAGAACCACCCCCAGAACAUACCAUGUAUCCAAAUUCGAUGGAUGAAAUCUUGGCCUGCACAACGGACCAAAGUCCCCAGAAGAAAUGGGACGCAAGGGCAAACCUGUAAUUACAAAAGCAGGAGAUGCAUGUGAGAUGUGUGGCGCGGGCCACAGGCCCAGGGAUGGGAUUUCCUGCUGGCGGGCCCUGGAACUCAUCCGGGUGCAAACCCGGUCAGCCUUGGCCCACUCAACAGGAUUCUAUUUCACAGGGACCCAGAACAGGGUGCAGGCACCGCAGCUGGCCUCUCCCACCUCUGGCUGGGGGCAGGUGGACUUGCAGUAUGGAUAUGCCCAGCUGCCAUCCCUGGCUCACAGCUACAGUCCCGGGACUCACACAGAGGCCUCGGGGGCCAUGCACGUGAUGCACGGGCUACACUGGGGAAGAAACUCUCUGCCUCACAUGUGAGCACAUGGCAUCAGCAACUCUUAGUAGGCGUAAUGCAGCGAGAGGAGGAACAUGCAGGCCUCUGGAUGACUCACUGGCUUUCCCAGGAGGUAGGAUACUGCCUCGCCCUCACCCCUGCCCUUGCACAGCAGUGAAACAAAGCAGAGAGCGUGGUGCCCAUCUCUACGCCACGCCAUGGCCUGCGUCGCCGUGAACCCAAGCUCCCCUCACAACAGUGCCUGUGGGCUUCACUGAAUGCUUCAGUGUCCUCCUCAAACCCGACUGUUUUUCUUGUGGUCCCUGACCCAUUACACAUCCCUUGGGACUACCCUUUCUGUCAGGCUCUCCUCCAUUUUUCUAUUUCCAUCCAUUCUAAAACCAGAGAGGGAAGAUCUAUGCGGUAGGGGGAGCCCCAGGACAGCGAAGGUGGCCACAUGCCCAGCAACAGGGGUGUGGACACUUCAGGAAGAGGGGGCAUCUGUGGUAAGUGGGCUGGAGAGGACAAGGUGGGCCAAAGUCACUUAAACAUUUUUACCAAAGAAUCUUCUAAGAGAGCCCAAAGAAUAGGAGUAACUUAAGUCUCUGGACUAGAGAGACGUGUAUGAUAAACGGGUCCAGACCUUCACAAAAUCUAGAAGUUUCUCAGCCCCGCUUUGAGAGCUAUUGAAAACAGACUUUAAAAGCAAGACUCAGAAUGAACACUCACAAUUUGUAAUUAGUUUUUAGAAGAAACCCAUUAUUAGAUGGUGCCCACCACUCCACGAGCAACAGGUGACAAGAGCGUGCAGGCCCCAGGUGUGGCUUACUGUGCCAAACGCCAUCCUCGUGCCGUGGCCCUGCACACCGACCCUGCCCUCCACACCUGCUGUGUGCUGAGAGAGGCACUAAGUGCUCAGCUAAGUACAAGUCCCAGAAAUGUAGGGGUAUAAAGAAGCUCCUAAAAUACCCAGGACUGCAAGUCGGCACCCCAAGUAUAUUCUACAAACAGACAGCUAUUUUAUAAAUUAACAACAACAAAAAAGUUACCUAUUGACUUCAAGCAACAUCUCUUCCUCUAUAAUGGACUUUUCUUCAUUACUGAGGUUUUCAAAUUCAUUAUGGAAUGCAGCCAAGUAAUUGCAAAUAAAGUGGAGCUUUAAAAAAAAGUAAUCACAUUAGAGUCAGCAGCUGUCAGGAAGCACGACCCAUCCAGGGGACACCCGCACGGCCGGCGGAGCCCGGAGCAGCUCUGUGCCAGGCGGGAGCGCAGAAGCUCGCCGGUGUGGCAGCGAUCCCCGGCUUCCCGGCAGAGCUCUACCGGACUCGCGGCCACUCUGUCGGCAAGAUGAGCAUAGGGAACCACUACCACUUCUGGACAAAAUCACUGAGGUGGAACGGACUCCAUACCCACGUUUCCCACAGCCCGGUCGCAAAGCAGGGUAAGCCUAUGUCGCGCAUCUCCGCAGACGGGCACUAGGGAGCCCGAGGUCACUGGCAGAGGCUCGGGCAGAGCGGGCGCUGACCAGACCACACGGAGGGGCCUUCCACCUCUGCGGCGCUGAGCGGACGCACUCCUGUCUGUAGAGUGGCAAGGUCUGAUUCUGGUUUGGAGAAGAAGCUUUACCAGGGUCCCCGUGUAAUCUGCACGUGACUCAGGAUUUAGGAGACCCCGUUCUUGAGCACCUCACACUACACCAAACGGCACCAGAACACAGCAAACCACCACUCACUUUCUUUUAUAAAUAAGGAAAAAGUGGGCAGUUGCUUUACCUAGAAGAACAUCAUUAACGGAUCAUCUAGCUGGAAUGCCAAUACCGCCUCUCCACCACCCCGCCCAUCUGCCUUCUCCCAGGCUGCUUUCACAGCGAGCACCCCCAACCACCAGAAAGCAGCGUUCCAGUUCGCGCGCUGUCCUAGCAGGGCGUUCUGGAAGGAGUAACCCUGGCACAGGCAAGGGGAUGGCUCGUGCCUAUUAAAUUCCACGUGGCAGGCACUGUCCUGAGCCUUUGUUUCUGCACACAGAGUCCGCAGGUGACAGUGAACAGUGGCAGAUCUGGGAUUCAAAUCCAGGCACGGUUUUUAAAACCCAUGUUUGAACUGCCAGAGAUGGGUUAAUUUCUGGGAGAUACUAAAUGCUCUAAUUGGCCAAUGAAGACAAAAAAUUUGAAUAGAU